rnacentral:rRNA from 1 species
CCUACGGGUGGCAGCAGUGAGGAAUAUUGGUCAAUGGACGCAAGUCUGAACCAGCCAUGCAGCGUGCAGGAAGACGGCCCUAUGGGUUGUAAACUGCUUUUGUACGAGGGUAAACUCAGACACGCGUACCUUUCUGAAAGUACCGUAUGAAUAAGGAUCGGCUAACUCCGUGCCAGCAGCCGCGGUAAUACGGAGGAUUCAAGCGUUAUCCGGAUUUAUUGGGUUUAAAGGGUGCGUAGGUGGUUGGUUAAGUUAGUGGUGAAAUCCCGAGGCUCAACUUCGGAAUUGCCUCUGAUACUGUUAGGCUAGAGAAUAGUUGCGGUAGGCGGAAUGUAUGGUGUAGCGGUGAAAUGCUUAGAUAUCAUACAGAACGCCGAUUGCGAAGGCAGCUUACCAAGCUGCUUCUGACAUUGAGGCACGAAAGCGUGGGGAGCAAACAGGAUUAGAUACCCCAGUAGUC